AGCCAGACUCCUACGGGAGGCAGCAGUGGGGAAUAUUGCACAAUGGGGGGAACCCUGAUGCAGCGACGCCGCGUGAGCGAUGAAGUAUUUCGGUAUGUAAAGCUCUCUCAGCAGGGAAGAAAAUGACGGUACCUGACUAAGAAGCCCCGGCUAACUACGUGCCAGCAGCCGCGGUAAUACGUAGGGGGCAAGCGUUAUCCGGAUUUACUGGGUGUAAAGGGGGCGCAGACGGCGAUGCAAGCCAGGAGUGAAAGCCCGGGGCCCAACCCCGGGACUGCUCUUGGAACUGCGUGGCUGGAGUGCAGGAGGGGCAGGCGGAAUUCCUGGUGUAGCGGUGAAAUGCGUAGAUAUCAGGAGGAACACCGGUGGCGAAGGCGGCCUGCUGGACUGCAACUGACGUUGAGGCCCGAAAGCGUGGGGAGCAAACAGGAUUAGAUACCCCCGUACAU
rnacentral:rRNA from 1 species